CCUACGGGAGGCAGCAGUGAGGAAUAUUGGUCAAUGGACGCACGUCUGAACCAGCCAUGCCGCGUGCAGGAAGACGGCCCUACGGGUUGUAAACUGCUUUUAUACGGGAAUAACGCGCCUUACGUGUAGGGCUUUGCAUGUACCGUAUGAAUAAGGACCGGAUAAUUCCGUGCCCGCCGCCGCGGUGAUACGGGAGGUACGGGCGUUAUCCGGAUUUAUUGGGUUUAAAGGGAGCGUAGGCCGCAUGUCAAGCGUGCUGUGAAAUGUCCGGGCUCAACCCGGGCCGUGCAGCGCGAACUGGCGUGCGUGAGUCCGCGGAAAGCAGGCGGAAUGCGUCGUGUAGCGGUGAAAUGCUUAGAUAUGACGAAGAACCCCGAUUGCGAAGGCAGCAUGCUGCAGCGGAACUGACGCUGAUGCUCGAAAGCGCGGGUAUCGAACAGGAUUAGAUACCCCGGUAGUC
rnacentral:rRNA from 1 species